rnacentral:rRNA from 1 species
UACGGAGGGUGCGAGCGUUGUCCGGAAUCACUGGGCGUAAAGGGCGCGUAGGUGGCCUGUGGAAGUCUGCGGUGAAAGCCCGGCGCUCAACGCCGGGUCGGCCGUGGAUACUCUCGGGCUUGAGCUUACUAGAGGCAGAUGGAAUUCCGGGUGUAGCGGUGGAAUGCGUAGAGAUCCGGAAGAACACCGGUGGCGAAGGCGGCCUGCUGGGCAGUUACUGACACUGAGGCGCGACAGCGUGGGGAGCAAACAGG